rnacentral:rRNA from 1 species
UACGUAGGGUCCGAGCGUUGUCCGGAAUUACUGGGCGUAAAGAGCUCGUAGGUGGUUUGUCGCGUUGUUCGUGAAAACUCACAGCUCAACUGUGGGCGUGCGGGCGAUACGGGCAGACUAGAGUACUGCAGGGGAGACUGGAAUUCCUGGUGUAGCGGUGGAAUGCGCAGAUAUCAGGAGGAACACCGGUGGCGAAGGCGGGUCUCUGGGCAGUAACCGACGCUGAGGAGCGAAAGCGUGGGGAGCGAACAGG